GUGGGGAAUAUUGCACAAUGGGCGCAAGCCUGAUGCAGCGACGCCGCGUGAGGGAUGACGGCCUUCGGGUUGUAAACCUCUUUCAGUAGGGAAGAAGCCGCAAGGUGACGGUACCUGCAGAAGAAGCGCCGGCUAACUACGUGUCAGCAGCCGCGGUAAUACGUAGGGCGCAAGCGUUAUCCGGAAUUAUUGGGCGUAAAGAGCUCGUAGGCGGUUUGUCGCGUCUGCCGUGAAAGUCCGGGGCUCAACUCCGGAUCUGCGGUGGGUACGGGCAGACUAGAGUGAUGUAGGGGAGACUGGAAUUCCUGGUGUAGCGGUGAAAUGCGCAGAUAUCAGGAGGAACACCGAUGGCGAAGGCAGGUCUCUGGGCAUUAACUGACGCUGAGGAGCGAAAGCGUGGGGAGCAAAC
rnacentral:rRNA from 1 species